rnacentral:rRNA from 1 species
AUUGAACGCUGGCGGCAUGCUUUACACAUGCAAGUCGAACGGCAGCGCGGGCAUCGGCCUGGCGGCGAGUGGCGAACGGGUGAGUAAUAUAUCGGAACGUACCCAAGAGUGGGGGAUAACGUAGCGAAAGUUACGCUAAUACCGCAUACGAUCUAAGGAUGAAAGCAGGGGACCUUCGGGCCUUGUGCUCCUGGAGCGGCCGAUAUCUGAUUAGCUAGUUGGUGAGGUAAAGGCUCACCAAGGCAACGAUCAGUAGCUGGUCUGAGAGGACGACCAGCCACACUGGAACUGGGACACGGUACAGACUCCUACGGGAGGCAGCAGUGGGGAAUUUUGGACAAUGGGGGCAACCCUGAUUCAGCGAUGCCGCGUGAGUGAAGAAGGCCUUCGGGUUGUAAAGCUCUUUUGUCAGGGAAGAAAAGGGAGUGGCUAAUAUCCAUUCCUGCUGACGGUACCUGAAGAAUAAGCACCGGCUAACUACGUGCCAGCAGCCGCCGUAACAC